CCUUCAAGGUGGUUUGUAUCAUUGGGUGAGAUGGUCGAGAUAAUGCGGACGCGAACUUGAUUGUUGUCAAGUCGCGUGUAGGUGACGUGCUGUGGGUGUCAUGCAAUGAGAUGCGUGUGUCUUGCGACGAGAUCGAAGCACACACAUACAAUACAAACAAGGCAAGUCAAAUACCUAGAACUCCACUUAGAUACACGACUCACAUGGAAACAGCAUAUUAAAGCAACAAUAGACAAAAUACAGAUGGCAAGGAGACAAAUAUACUGGCUAACAAGUCGAAAAUACAAACUAAGCAUAGAAAACAAACUAAAAAUAUAUAAAAUGGCCAUAAAACCAAUCUGGACGUACGGAAUAGCACUAUGGGGAACAGCAGCAAUGAGCCAUAUAACCAAAAUAGAGGCAAUGGAAUCUAAAAUACUCAGAACAAUAGUAAACGCGCCAUGGUACGUUAGAAACGAGGACAUUCGGAAAGACCUGGGAAUACCAACGGUCAAGGAGGAGAUUAACAGAAGUGCAAGAAGGUAUAGAGAAAGAAUAGCAACGCACCCAAACCGGCUGGCAGCGGAAACGGUCGACACAUCAAGCAUAAAAAGAAGAUUAAAAAGAAAACACCCAACAGAUCUCACAAAGGACAUAACCUAACAAACACGAUGAUGGUACCCCGCUGGGGGUAGCCACCGACAUGUCAUAUUAGUAUACCGCUAUAAUAUUUUACCAAAUGUCCUACUGGACAAAUUGUAAAAAUUUAA